UGGAAAUCUGUCAAAUCUGCGAAAUAUGAGGAAGUUGUAUGAGCAGCGUGACAUGCAGGUGACAGAAAAACGCUGCGCUUCAUAGUUUUUCUAUCAGAAAAUCACUGAAUUCGAACACAAUAUUACAAGAGCAUGUGGAAUAUAGAAGACUUCCAGAAACUUUCAGCAGCUGAGGAUUCAGAGAAAGCCCAUCAACAGCUGACUGUAACCAUCAUUUAAACACGCUCCAGCCUUCACCUUUGACCCGGCCAGUGACAGCUACUGUACCACCCUGUGCAUGCUGCCAGCGUGAGGGUGUUUUUGUGCUAGUUGGUGAUCACACCCUGCCCUGGUCAGAAACAACAGGACUAUCAAGCAGAACAAAGGCUCAAACUCCAAGCCAACAUAAACCCUCCAUCAUUUAGACGGGACAAGGGACACCGCUGCAGCAGACGACUGAUAAGCCUUAUCUGUAGGAUAAUAGCAGACAUGAACACAGCUGCUGAAGUCAUACAGUACGGACUCUGUCCGCAGUGUCAGAACAAAUAAAGUUUCAACGAUUUA